rnacentral:rRNA from 1 species
CCUACGGGUGGCAGCAGUGAGGAAUAUUGGUCAAUGGCCGUAAGGCUGAACCAGCCAAGUAGCGUGAGGGAAGACUGCCCUAUGGGUUGUAAACCUCUUUUAUGCGGGGAUAAAGGUGUCCACGUGUGGAUGUUUGCAGGUACCGCAUGAAUAAGGACCGGCUAAUUCCGUGCCAGCAGCCGCGGUAAUACGUAAGGUCCGGGCGUUAUCCGGAUUUAUUGGGUUUAAAGGGAGCGUAGGCGGGUUGUUAAGUCAGCUGUAAAAGCCUGCGGCUCAACCCUGGAGUGCCGUUUGAAACUGGCAGUCUUGAGUACAGUUGAGGUAGGCGGAAUUCGUGGUGUAGCGGUGAAAUGCUUAGAUAUCGCGAAGAACUCCGAUUGCGAAGGCAGCUUACUAAACGGCCACUGACAUUGAUGCUCGAAAGUGUGGGUAUCAAACAGGAUUAGAUACCCUUGUAGUC